CAGUAGCCGCGGUAAUACGUAGGGUGCGAGCGUUAAUCGGAAUUACUGGGCGUAAAGUGUGCGCAGGCGGUUCGUUAAGACAGAUGUGAAAUCCCCGGGCUUAACCUGGGAACUGCAUUUGUGACUGGCGAGCUAGAGUAUGGCAGAGGGGGGUAGAAUUCCACGUGUAGCAGUGAAAUGCGUAGAGAUGUGGAGGAAUACCGAUGGCGAAGGCAGCCCCCUGGGCCAAUACUGACGCUCAUGCACGAAAGCGUGGGGAGCAAACAGGAUUAGAUACCCCUGUAGUCCCUGUCUCUUAUAC
rnacentral:rRNA from 1 species